AUUGAACGCUGGCGGCAGGCCUAACACAUGCAAGUCGAGCGAGCGGCGGACGGGUGAGUAAUGUCUGGGAAACUGCCUGAUGGAGGGGGAUAACUACUGGAAACGGUGGCUAAUACCGCAUACCAUCAGAUGUGCCCAUAUGGGAUUAGCUAGUAGGUGGGGGAACGGCUCACCUAGGCGACGAUCCCUAGCUGGUCUGCGAGGAUGACCAGCAACAUGGGAACUGAGACACGGUCCAGACUCCUACGGGAGGCAGCGGUGGGGAAUAUUGCACAAUGGGCGCAAGCCUGAUGCGGCCAUGCCGGGUGGGUGAAGAAGGCCUUCGGGUUGUAAAGCACUUUCAGCGGGGAGGCGUUACCCGCAGAAGAAGCACCGGCUAACUCCGUGCCAGCCGCCGCGGUAAUUC
rnacentral:rRNA from 1 species